rnacentral:rRNA from 1 species
AACUAACGCUGGCGGCGUGCCUAACACAUGCAAGUCGUACGAGAAAGCCGGCUUCGGCUGGUGAGUAAAGUGGCGCACGGGUGAGUAACGCGUGGAUAAUCUGCCCUUAAGUGCGGAAUAACGUACCGAAAGGUGCGCUAAUACCGCAUAAUGCCUGGCAACACAAGUUGUCCGGCCAAAGAAGGCCUCUGUUUACAAGCUUUCGCUUCAGGAUGAGUCCGCGUACCAUUAGCUUGUUGGUGGGGUAAUGGCCUACCAAGGCUGCGAUGGUUAGCUGGUCUGAGAGGAUGAUCAGCCACACUGGAACUGAGACACGGUCCAGACUCCUACGGGAGGCAGCAGUGAGGAAUAUUGCGCAAUGGGGGCAACCCUGACGCAGCAACGCCGCGUGAGUGAGGAAGGUUUUCGGACUGUAAAGCUCUGUCGAGCGGGAAGAAGUGUACCAUGGCUAAUAUCCAUGAUAUUUGACGGUACCGCUAGAGG